rfam:Lentinula edodes NBRC 111202 DNA, contig: scaffold134.
GCAUUAAUGGGGUAGUGGUAACCUGGGUCGUUGCCAUACUGCAUAACUAUCUAAGCCUAUCUCGACCCGCCGGGGGUUCGAUUCCCUCUUAAUGCA